rnacentral:rRNA from 1 species
CGCCUGGGGAGUACGGCCGCAAGGUUAAAACUCAAAUGAAUUGACGGGGGCCCGCACAAGCGGUGGAGCAUGUGGUUUAAUUCGACGCAACGCGAAGAACCUUACCUGGCCUUGACAUCCAGAGAACUUUCCAGAGAUGGAUUGGUGCCUUCGGGAACUCUGAGACAGGUGCUGCAUGGCCGUCGUCAGCUCGUGUCGUGAGAUGUUGGGUUAAGUCCCGUAACGAGCGCAACCCCUAUCCCUGGUUGCUAGCAGGUAAUGCUGAGAACUCCAGGGAGACUGCCGGUGACAAACCGGAGGAAGGUGGGGAUGACGUCAGGUCAUCAUGGCCCUUACGGCCAGGGCUACACACGUGCUACAAUGGCGCGUACAGAGGGCUGCCAACUCGCGAGAGUGAGCCAAUCCCUUAAAACGCGUCGUAGUCCGGAUCGGAGUCUGCAACUCGACUCCGUGAAGUCGGAAUCGCUAGUAAUCGCGAAUCAGAAUGUCGCGGUGAAUACGUUCCCGGGCCUUGUACACACCGCCCGUCACACCAUGGGAGUGGAUUGCACCAGAAGUAGUUAGUCUAACCUUCGGGAGGACGAUUACCACGGUGUGGUUCAUGACUGGGGUGAAGUCGCAACAAGGUAACCGUA